CGGGCCGUCCGACCCGCCGCUGUCGUCCUGGAUCCAACCAGGGUGGUAGAGCAAAGUCCGGACUCGCGAGGCGAAAGCCGAAAGGCGGACGCCGAAAGGCCGCUCGGGCCAAUAACCCGAGGGGCGGGGGACGCAAGUCCUCCGUCACGUCAAGUGCAACAGAGAGCAGACCAGCCGAUGGAUCGGGUCCCCGAUCACAGGUGAUGGGUGAAAGGGUGGGGUAAGAGCCCACCGGCGGCAUCCCGAGAGGGACCGGCCAGGUAAACCACCGGUGCGAGCAAGCCAAAGUGUCCCGGAUGCCGCGAGGCGUCUCGGGCUGGUAGGUGCGGCUCUCCGCAGGGAGAGCCUCGUAGGGAAGUUCCGCAGAACGCCCCCACGAGAGAUGGAUGGUGGGAUAGAGCAGGAUCCGGCUUACGGGACGGCCCGGACU
rnacentral:RNase_P_RNA from 1 species